rnacentral:rRNA from 1 species
CGGCUUCCUACGGGAGGCAGCAGUGGGGAAUAUUGGACAAUGGGGGAAACCCUGAUCCAGCAAUGCCGCGUGUGUGAAGAAGGCCUUAGGGUUGUAAAGCACUUUAGGCUAGGAAGAAGGUGUUUAGUUUAAGAGAUGAAACACUUGACGGUACUAGCAGAAUAAGCACCGGCUAACUCUGUGCCAGCAGCCGCGGUAAUACAGAGGGUGCAAGCGUUAAUCGGAAUUACUGGGCGUAAAGGGCGCGUAGGCGGAUAUUUAAGUUAGAUGUGAAAUCCCUGGGCUUAACCUAGGAACUGCAUUUAAAACUGGGUAUCUAGAGUAUUGUAGAGGGUAGUGGAAUUUCCGGUGUAGCGGUGAAAUGCGUAGAGAUCGGAAGGAACACCAGUGGCGAAGGCGGCUACCUGGACAAAUACUGACGCUGAGGCGCGAAAGCGUGGGGAGCAAACAGGAUUAGAUACCCCAGUAGUCCAAGCCG